rfam:Vigna angularis cultivar Jingnong 6 scaffold331_11, whole genome shotgun sequence.
GGAGAGAUGGCUGAGUGGUUGAUAGUCCUGGUCUUGAAAACUGGUAUAGUUUGAAACAAAGAACUAUCGAGGAUUCGAAUCCCUCUCUCUCCU